GGUACCUCACGAAUAAGCCCCGGCUAAUUCCGUGCCAGCAGCCGCGGUAAUACGUAGGGACCAAGCGUUGUCCGGAUUUAUUGGGUUUAAAGGGAGCGCAGGCCGCCGAUUAAGCGUGACGUGAAAUGUCCCGGCUCAACCUGGGAGUUGCGUCGCGAACUGGUUGGCUAGAGUGCGCACGAGGUAUGCGGAAUUCGUGGUGUAGCGGUGAAAUGCUUAGAUAUCACGAAGAACCCCGAUUGCGAAGGCAGCCGACGAGUCCUCAACUGACGCUCAAGCUCGAAAGUGCGGGUAUCGAACAGGAUUAGAUACCCUGGUAGUCCGCACGGUAAACGAUGGAUGCCCCGCUGUCGUUGAUACGCAGUAGGGGGCCAGGAGAAGUCUUUAAGCUUCCGCACUUGGGGGGUAGGCGGGCAACGGGGAAACUCAAAGGAAUUGCGGGGGGCCCGCACAAGCGGAGGAACAUGGGGUUAAUUUCGAUGAUACGGGAGGGACCUUUACCCGGGCUGAAAUUGCAGGGAUAGGACACAGAGAUGUUGAGGCCCUUCGGGGCGCCUGUGGAGGUGCUGCAUGGUUGUCGUCAGCUCGUGCCGUGAGGUGUCGGCUUAAGUGCCAUAACGAGCGCAACCCUUUUCUUCAGUUGCCAUCAGGUUAUGCUGGGCACUCUGGAGACACUGCCACCGUAAGGUGUGAGGAAGGUGGGGAUGACGUCAAAUCAGCACGGCCCUUACGUCCGGGGCUACACACGUGUUACAAUGGGUGGUACAGAGAGUCGGUGUAUCGCAAGGUACAUCCAAUCAUGAAAUCCAUCCUCAGUUCGGAUGGGGGUCUGCAACCCGACCCCAUGAAGCUGGAUUCGCUAGUAAUCGCGCAUCAGCCAUGGCGCGGUGAAUACGUUCCCGGGCCUUGCACACACCGCCCGUCAAG
rnacentral:rRNA from 1 species